GAUUAACGAAUCACCAAAAGUAGGUGACCAAGCUCAGAGAAGGGUGAUGAAAGGUGUUGAUGAUCUAGACUUCUUCAUUGGUGAUGAAGCAAUAGAAAAACCUACAUAUGCAACAAAGUGGCCAAUUCGUCAUGAUACAGUUGAAGAUUGGGAUUUAAUGGAAAAGUUUAUGGAGCAAGUGAUCUUUAAAUAUUUAAGAGCAGAACCUGAAGACCAUUAUUUUCUUUUGACUGAACCUCCACUGAAUACUCCAGAAAACAAGGAAUAUACUGCUGAAAUGUUUGAGUCCUUCAGUGUUCCAGGCUUGUACAUUGCUGUGCAGGCUGUUGGCUUAGCUGCAUCCUGGACCUCAAGACAAGUAGAAGAACAGACAUUGACUGGUACAGUAAUAGCGGAGAUGGUGUUAUUCAUGUUAUUCCUGUGGCUGAAGUGUAUUAGAUUGGCAGCUAUAUUAAGCAUAUUCCAAAUGUAGGAUGAGAUAUAACAUAUUUUAUUCUGCAGCUAUUGAGAGAACAAGAAGUAGGAAUCCCUCCAGGACAAUCUCUAGAAAUUGCUAAGGCAGUAAAGGAGCGCUAUAGUUAUGUAUCCCCAGAUUCAGUAAGAGUUUAACAAGUAUGACACAGAUGGAGCAAAGUGAAUUAAACAGUAUAAUGGAAUCAAUGCCAUCUCAAAGAAUUUUCCAUUGAUGUUGGUUAUGAGAGAUUCUUGGGACCUGAAAUCAUUUUCAUCCAGAGUUUGCUAAUUCAGACUUUAUACAACCUAUUUCAGAAGUUGUAAAUGAAGUAAUUCAGAAUUGUCCUAUUGAUGUCAGACGUCCUCUCUGUAAGAAUAUUGUCCUCUCUGGAGGCUCAACCAUGUUCAGGGACUUUGGAUGCUAUAUGCAAAGAGAUCUGAAAAGAACUGUAGAUGCCAGGCUGAAAUUAAGUGAGGAAGUGAGUGGUGGUAGAUUGAAGCCAAAACCAAUUGAUGUACAAGCUAUCAUACACCAUAUGCAGCAAUAUGCAGUUUGGUUUGGAGGAUCAAUGCUGGCUUCCACGCCUGAGUUCUACCAAGUAUGCACACCAAAAAGGAUUAUGAAGAAACUGGAUCUAGCAUUUCUCACCACAAUCCUGCAUUUGGAGUCAUGUUGUAAAAUCAGGCUGUUGGGGUUAGGGAGGUGGAAAAGAAAUAAUCUUUCUGAUAUCCUGUUUUGUCUGGCGGGCUGGCAUUUUGAGGUUUCAAACCUCACAUGAAAUAGUAAGAGCAAACAUAAUCAUACAGGAGUAUUUUAAUAAGCAUAUUAACAUGGAGAUGUAAAAGAGAGCCAAAAUGAUUUUUUUUAGAUUGAAAAUUUGAAUUUUAUGUGUAACAAAAAGAAGUUUUAGUUCU